CCUGACCGGUUUGGCUCAGUGGAUAGAGCGUCAGCCUGUGGGCUGAAAGGUCCCAGGUUCGAUUCAGGUCAAGGGCAUGUACCUUGGUUGCGGGCACAUCCCCAGUGGGGGGUUGUGCAGGAAGCAGCUGAUCGAUGUUUCUCUCUCAUUGAUGUUUCUAACUCUCUAUCCCUCUCCCUUCCUCUCUGUAAAAAAAUCAAUAAAAUAUAUUUUUUAAAAACCCAGCAA